ACCUUACCUAGCACCAUUACUUCUCUCUGAGGAUGGAGAGCUGCAUCAUCUCCCAGCAAAGAAAAAAGAAAACUUUCAGAAACUUUCUACCUUCUCAGAGAAAAGUAUAAGAACUGGCAAAACUAGUAACGAACAGAACCUUGGAACCUGAAUCGGUUGAGUAGUAGGGGCUACAAAUAACAAGAAAGCCGUGAGUUCUGCUCUUCUGGAAAUUGGAUCCCUUCUUGCAUCUCAUUAUGUCAAGUUGGGAAAGUUUAGGUAAUACAAUAAGGAACAAAUAAAAAUGUUAAAGCCAUCA
rnacentral:lncRNA from 1 species